rnacentral:tRNA from 1 species
GAGCAGCGGUGGCGCAGUGGUAACGCGUGAGAUUGCAAAUCUCAAGAUCCCGUGUUCGAACCACGGUCGCUGCUU